AUGAGUCAAAUGAUGAACAGUUGCAUAGUUCACAUGAGAUUUUUACUAAUAAAUCUCUGAUUAUAAACUUUCAUGUCUUUCGCUCCUAUCUGAUGACUCCC
rnacentral:snoRNA from 1 species